GGGUCUUUUCAGCGCGGCCCGGGGAUGUCCGCCCUUCCUUGGGUCUCUACAGCAGGGUCGGGUGGGGACCGAGAGGCAAGGCUGCCAUCCCCAUUCCUGCCCGCCCUCCGCGACUGAUUUUGGGUAGAUCCCCAAGGGGAGGAAGACGUGAAAGCACUCUACUCUCGAGGGAAGGGCUAGCCAGAUUUGGGGGUGAAUCACGCGGUAGAAACCCUCCUGGCCCCCGCUGCCCCUUAGGACAGUUUCCUUAGGGGACUGACAUUUCUGAUGAGUUCGUUAGGGUGGCCCAGACCCCUGAUCCCGUCUGGCUUGGGUGUGAGCGCAGUUCAGACUCCAGGUCCACCUCCCACCCUCCGAAUGACCUUGUGCACGUUAUUUCAUCGCCCUGGGAUUGUUUUCCAUAAAAUAGGGGCUAAUGAUAGUCUUCGCUUUAUUGGGUGUUUGUGAGGAACUGAAAUUAUAAAAUAGAACGGUGCCUGGGCGCUUGUAAGGACCCAGUAAAUGUUAGCUGUGUUAUUAGGAUUGGCAUUUGAAGAGGUCCCAUCCUCCAAUUGAGCCCGUUUUCCCCUUUAUGAAGUUAUGCUAGGUGCACUGGGAAGCCUGCCGAACCUGACUGUCUUCUAGGUUCUGGUGUCAGAUAGACUGCAGUUGAAAAUCCUGGCUCUUCCACUUCUUGCUGAUUAACAAUGGGCAUUUAAUCUCUUUAAACCUUGUCUUCCUCUUCUCUCAAAUGUGGUUAAAUAUCUAGUUAAUUGGCCCAUUGUAUGAAUUCAUUUGUUCAGUGGACACCUGAAUUGUGUAUAGUGUCAGGCAUAUCAUGGUCACAUCAGUUGCUGUCAGGAUACAGGUAUAUUGCAGGUAAACAGAACUAAGUAUGCAGUAUUAUUAACAGAUGCUGUUCAAAGGAACAUUUUUUAUGUUCUCGUUGGAUUCUCACAACCUUGAAGUGGUUCCCUUGCUUGUCCACAUUUUCCAGAUGAGGAAACUGAAGCACAGUAAAGGUAAAUAACUUGGCCAAAGCCUUACAGCUGAGGCAUGGAAAAGCCAGGGAAGAAUACCAAAGGAUGUAAGACUCAGGGUGGAGUAGAAUUUGGCCUUAUAGAUUUCUCCUGUCUUCAGCGAGACAGUACAGGAUUCUAGAAAGAACAUGGAAUACCAGAUCCUGUAGUCUCAAUACAUUCUUUUCAGAAAAUAUUUAUGCAGAUAUAAUGUACCUGCUAUGUGGACGAUUCCAUUUCAGAUACCGUAGGGAGCAAAACAGCAAAGCUGCUGCCCUUGUGGAGUGUGUACUUUAGUAGAAGACAGAUGAUUGAUCAGUAGUUGAUGUCAGUGGCAGUGUUUGCUGAGAAGAAAAACAGGGCAGUGACAGGGAAUAGAGCAAGCCCAGGGCUGAUGUUCAGGUUAGGGAAGGCUCCCCUGAGAAGGGAUGUUGAACAGGCCGUGAAUGAAGUGAAGGGAAAUGAACAGGUGAGGGAAAAGAAUCUGGGCAGAGAGAAAGCAGGUACAGAGCCUCAGUGUUUGAUGCAUUCAGAGAACAGCAGAAAGGCCCACAUGGCUGAAGUUGGGUGUAUGGUGAAGUGGUGGGAUGUGAGGACUAAGAUGAGGCUAGAUUAGGUGAGGCCUGUGGGCAGGGCAAAGAUCUGGACAGAGCAGUGAAAUGUUCUAAAGUAUCUUUCUGGCUAUUGGGGCAGGAGAUGUGCAGGAGCAGGUAGUCUUAAUGAGAAGCCACUGCAGAACACAGGACCAGUGUUAGCACAUAGAUGGAGGAAGGUGGUUAGAUUCGGGACAUGUCAAGAAGGGCUGAUGAGUUUGAUGUGGUGUUGGUGGGUAAUGUAGAGGGAGGCAGCGAGGAUGAUGGAAGUUUGAUCUCAGCUCUGCCAGUUUGUUCUCUGUGCCCCUGGAGUAGCUCGCAUCUUUGGGCCCAGACCCCCUCAUCUGUAAAAUGAGGAUAAAGAUGAAGAAUCAGCAUCUACCUGGUUGUGGAGGUGCCGUGAAAUGGCAUGGGCUAUAAACUGCAGCAAAUCACCACAAACCAGGUGUCAUAAGACAGCAGAUUUGUCCUGCCACUCUUUGGAGACCAGAAGUCUAAAAUCAAGGUGUUAGCAGGGUUUCCUCUGCAGGCUCUGAGGAUGUGAUAGACAGGGUGGGAAAAUCCAGCUAGGCCUGUGUGCAAGCAUUCCUGUUUCCAGGGCAUGGGUAGGACCCAUUCUGAAGUGGGGGUCUUAUGAUCUACUGUCAGAUGAGGAAUUCCAGAGAAUUUCAUCUGGGGCAGCUCCAAGACAGACUGAGGAAGGCUACAGUUUCUGUAGCUUACCUUGAGAAAGAGAAAUUUUGGUGUCUGCAGCCUGCCUUGAGGAGAGAGUUACAAGGUAGGAACUCUAGAAGAAAAUGAAAAUAUGUAUCAUAAUAUCAUGGGCCACAGGUCAAUCCACUAUGCUAGUGGUAUAUUAGCACUGUUUUGCUGUUGUUUCAUAGAAAUGUUAUGGCAUUGUUAGUUAAUUCAUCAUCACUGUUAGCUAGCAACCUUGGGUUUAAAUGCCUGCUUCAGACCAUCUUAGCUCUGUGACUAUGAGAAGAAACUUUGGCUCCCUGAGCCUGUUUCCCUUCAUAAAAGGGGGACUUUAGAAAAUAGCUCAGACCUCAAGGGCUGUUGUGAGGAUGAAGUGGGAUCUUGGGCGUGAGUGCCUAGCGUAGGACCUGGCCCAGAGUAAGCCUUCUGUGCCAAGGCUGCUGCUGUCCAAGGGCACGCAUAUCUUGUCAGAUGGGCAAAGCAGGGGGCCGCGCGCGGUGUUGGGGAGGCAGGGUGCAAUCUUGAGAAGUGCCACUGAGUAGUGGUGGGCUCGGUGAAACCCAGAGGGUACUCUGGCAUUUGUUGCCUCUGCUACCAUUGUUUUUGUUUUUUGUUUGCUUUUUCCUAUCAUUAUUUUUUAAUGGUCCAUUCGAGGUCAUAGAACACUUGGUAGGUGAUGACUACAUCACUACUGAAAAUCUUUACACAUAGAUGUUUCUAGGAAUUGACCUGUUUCCAGAGCUGUGGAACUGCCUUGAGUUGUGGAUUCCUAACUUUCUUCCCUUUUUUUGU